rnacentral:rRNA from 1 species
AUUGAACGCUGGCGGCAGGCUUAACACAUGCAAGUCGAGCGAGUGGCGGACGGGUGAGUAAUGUCUGGGAAACUGCCUGAUGGAGGGGGAUAACUACUGGAAACGGUAGCUAAUACCGCAUACCAUCAGAUGUGCCCAGAUGGGAUUAGCUGGUGGGUGGGGUAAUGGCUCACCUAGGCGACGAUCCCUAGCUGGUCUGAGAGGAUGACCAGCCACACUGGAACUGAGGAACGGUCCCAAAUCCUAAGGGAGGGCAGAGGGGGGAAUAUUGCACAAUGGGGGCAAGCCUGGUGCAGGCAAUCCGGGUGUGAUGAGGAGGGCUUCGGGUUGUAAAGGAAUUUCAGCGAGGAAGCGUUACUCGCAGAAGGAGCACCGGCUAACUCCGUGGCCGCAGCCGCGGUAAUUC